rnacentral:tRNA from 1 species
ACAGAAAUAGCAAAAAGUGCAUUAGGUUUAAGCCCUAAAUAUAAAGAUGAAAGCUCUUUUUUUUGUA